UGCCUCUUCAUACAUUUAAUUUUUCAAGUU
rnacentral:piRNA from 1 species